rnacentral:rRNA from 1 species
GAUGAAUGCUGGCGGCGCGCCUAACACAUGCAAGUCGAGCGGAAAGGCCCUUCGGGGUACUCGAGCUGCGGACGGCUGAGGAACGCGUGGGAACAUGCCCCCAAGUGAGGAAUAACUGCCCGAAAGGGGAGCUAAAGCCGCAUAUGAGCCUCGGAUUAAAGGAUUUAUCCGCUUUGGGAGUGGCCCGCGUACGAUUAGGUAGUUGGUGAGGUAAAGGCGCACCAAGCCUACGAUCGUUAACUGGUCUGAGAGGAUGAUCAGUCAGACUGGAACUGAGACACGGUCCAGACUCCUACGGGAGGCAGCAGUGAGGAAUCUUCCACAAUGGGCGAAAGCCUGAUGGAGCGACGCCGCGUGCAGGAUGAAGGCCUUCGGGUUGUAAACUGCUUUUAUAAGUGAAGAAUAUGACGGUAACUUAUGAAUAAGCACCGGCUAACUACGUGCCAGCCGCCGCGGUAA